AAAAAUACUAUUGAGCAAGUAUUAUUCUUCCGCACUAAGAAUAUUCUGCUUUUGUUAGGUCUUCCUAUUUUCUUAAUGACAAAAAUGCUAAAGUGCAGGAUUAUUCAAAGAAGAUUUCACUAAUAAAUAAUAAUCAUCCUUAUAAUACUUAUAGACAGAUUUAUAGCUUAUAGCGAUUUAUAUUCAACAAGUUUGAAAAAAAGACAAGAGCGUGGUAGCUUAAUUUAAAUGAUUGAAUUAGGUAACAAAAUUGACUAUAUUAAUUGUUAUAAUAAAGAUUGAUUAAAUUUUUAUUCAACGAGCCCAGUACCAACACGUAGCCAUAAUAAACAUAACAAAAAAAUCUGCACAGAAAUUGCCCUUAUUUAUAUAUAUAUAUAUUUUUUUUAAUUUGUUAUUUAGGUACCCUAAGAAGUCCUAACGGUCUUGUCACAGAGCACCGCGGAAGUGCAUUUAACCAGAAAGUUCACACCUCCUUCCUUACCAUGACGCGAAAUAUGUCUAAAGCUCGUUUUGAACCUGGAUCUCCUGCUUAUAAAGCAUACGAUCUAACUGCGCCACGGCCACACAAUAUUUGGCAUAACUUUUUUGUGAAUCAAGAAGCUCGUUUUGAUCAGUUUAGAAAAUUAAAAGGUUUAAAUAAAGAUAAGCGCUAGAAAAAGAAUGAGCUAAAACAAAGUGAAGUUACAUUAUAUUUUUAAAUAUAUUAGUUGAGGUUGAGAGUUUAUGUUCACUUAUUUUAGUUUAAAAGACAUCUUUGUCAGACACUUGUCUCAAAAACCCAUAGCUAUUCAAAGGCGUCUAAAUUUUAUUACGCAUAAUACAGGUCUUUAAACGUCUUUAAAAAACGCUGAGAAGAGAAAUGUUUUUUUAAAUAUUGUUACUCUGUAGAAGUUACUGGUAUACCUGUUACUUCAAUAAAGUUUUCAUUUUAUUUAUAAAAUAUUUUAUUUUUUCUUCAAACCUAGUAUUUGUUUAACUUUCUACGGGUAAUACUAAUAUGAAAACAAUUUUUAUUGUUUUUUGAUUUAUACUCAGGUAAAAUAUUUGUUUUCUUAUUUUAAUUUAUAGUUAAAACAUAUACUUUUUCAUUAUUUUAUUUUAUGGUUUAUUUUCAAGAGAAGGCAGAGACACCAACAAAAAGCUUUGAAGUUAAUGAUAGUGAAGGGGAGGCAGAUAAUUAUAAAAAUCUUUGCAGCUAAAGACAGUGAAGAGAAGGCAGAAAAGCCAAUAAAAACCAUUGUAGUUGAAGAUAGUGAAGAGAUAGUGAAUGCGAAAAAAAGCUACAUAGUUGAUGAUACAAAACAUAAUCAAACCAGGUAAUAAAACAAUUCACUCUAUGGAUCCUAUGGGAGAACAGAUAAUUUCCAUCACAAAAGAAGAAGUGAAAUGGAAUAGUUGUUACUUACAACAAAGAUAUGGUGUUUCAGAAAAGUUUGAAAUAUUAACAUUACCACAUGCCAUACAAGCUGAAGUUUGCUGAAAGUUAUACAAAUGGAGAUGUAUUGGUGCGUGUCUUUCCACAUGUAGAAGUUAAUGCAUACAGAAAGAGAGAUAAAGGAGAUAAUGUGAUAUUUGCAUCCAAAUCGAUGGUACCAUAUUAGAUGCAUUGUUUUUAGAAAUGAAAUUUUUUUUUGUUGUGAACAUAUUUAUAUAUAAAUGUAAUAUAAUUGAAACUUUAAAAA